UACGUAGGGGGCAAGCGUUGUCCGGAUUUAUUGGGCGUAAAGAGCGUGUAGGCGGCCAUGUAGGUCCGUUGUGAAAACUCGAGGCUCAACCUCGAGACGCCGAUGGAAACCAUGUGGCUAGAGUCCGGAAGAGGAGAGUGGAAUUCCUGGUGUAGCGGUGAAAUGCGCAGAUAUCAGGAGGAACACCAACGGCGAAGGCAGCUCUCUGGGACGUUACUGACGCUGAGACGCGAAAGCGUGGGGAGCAAACAGG
rnacentral:rRNA from 1 species